rnacentral:snRNA from 1 species
AUCACUCUGCAGCCUUUUGGCUAAGAUCAAGUGUAGUAUUUGUACUUAUCAGUUUAAUAAAAGCUACUGUCUCGUAUAAGUUAUUUUAAAUAUAAGAAAUGCUAUUCAGACACUUC